CCCAAUGGAGCAAGGUGAAUGGGGGUACUUUUGAAUUAGAUGAUCAGUGGAGCAUAGAGGCGUGAGAAAGAAAUCAUAUUAGGAUGUGAAACCAGUCAGAGUAUUGUACAAUGCAACUUCAUGGCACAAUUUAAUCAUAAGGUCCAUUAUGCUUUUUAGCAAGUCAGCUUGAUAUCCCCUAUUAUCAGAGCUGAGUUCUUCCUUGGUUUUGCUACAUACUGCAAGAUAAAUACAUCUACCCUUGAAACACAAUGGUAGAGG